GACGAACGCUGGCGGCGUGCUUAACACAUGCAAGUCGAACGAAGUGGCGAACGGGUGAGUAACGCGUAAUCAACCUGCCCUUCAGCGGGAGACAACAGUUGGAACCGACUGCUAAUACCGCAUCCUGAAGGCGGGUAUUGCGUCUGAUUAGCUAGUUGGAGGGGUAACGGCCCACCAAGGCGAUGAUCAGUAGCCGGUCUUGGAGGAUGAACGGCCACAUUGGGACUGAGAAACGGCCCAGACUCCUACGGGAGGCAGCAGUGGGGAAUCUUCCGCAAUGGACGAAAGUCUGACGAAGCAACGCCGCGUGAGUGAUGACGGCCUUCGGGUUGUAAAGCUCUGUUAAUCGGGACGCGGUACCGGAAUAGAAAGCCACGGCUAACUACGUGCCAGCAGCCGCGGUAAUAC
rnacentral:rRNA from 1 species